rnacentral:rRNA from 1 species
GACGAACGCUGGCGGCGUGCUUAACACAUGCAAGUCGAACGAAGUGGCGAACGGGUGAGUAAAGCGUAAUCAACCUGCCCUUCAGAGGGGGAAAACAGUUGGAAACGACUGCUAAUACCGAAUACUGAAGGUGGGGAUGGAGUCGGAUUAGCUAGUUGGAGGGGUAACGGCCCACCAAGGCGAUGAGCAGUAGCCGGUCCGGCAGUAUGAACGGCUACAUUGGGACUGAGACACUGCCCAGACUCCUACGUGAGGCAGCAGGUGGGAAUCUUCCGCAAUGGACGAAAGUCUGACGGAGCAACGCCGCGUGAGUGAUGACGGCCUUCGGGUUGUAAAGCUCUGUUAAUCGGGACGCGGUACCGGAAUAGAAAGCCACGGCUAACUACGUGCCAGCAGCCGCGGUAAUUC